rfam:Colobus angolensis palliatus isolate OR3802 unplaced genomic scaffold Scaffold97, whole genome shotgun sequence
ACCUAGACUAAGCCCAGGAACAUAAGACCUCAAAGCUGAUGAGCCACGUACCUACUCAAGACGAAAGCUCCUUCUCGCACUGUGUAACUCAUGAUUCUCAUGACCCCUGGGGGUUGGAGAGAUCUGGACUAGGAGCCGGGGGCCUCUGAUUUUGCCAGCCACUGCUAA